CCUACGGGAGGCAGCAGUGGGGAAUAUUGCACAAUGGGGGAAACCCUGAUGCAGCAACGCCGCGUGAGCGAUGAAGGCCUUCGGGUCGUAAAGCUCUGUCCUAAGGGAAGAAUACUGACGGUACCUUAGGAGGAAGCCCCGGCUAACUACGUGCCAGCAGCCGCGGUAAUACGUAGGGGGCUAGCGUUAUCCGGAAUUACUGGGCGUAAAGGGUGCGUAGGCGGCCCUUCAAGUCAGAGGUGAAAGGCUACGGCUCAACCGUAGUAAGCCUUUGAAACUGUAGGGCUUGAGUGCAGGAGAGGAGAGUGGAAUUCCCAGUGUAGCGGUGAAAUGCGUGGAUACUGGGGAGGAGACCAGGUGCGAAGGCGGCUCGCUGGCCUGUAGCUGACGCUGAGGCACGAAAGCGUGGGGAGCGAACAGGAUUAGAUACCCCUGUAGGC
rnacentral:rRNA from 1 species